CCAGACACAAAUCUAGUCUUAUUUUCCUUGUUUUUAAAAUGAUGGUGCUGGGGUAAUUUAGAUCUGAAAUUCCUUUUGAUUCUAAUAUUUCACUAUUAUUUUUACACCAGUGGUUAUGUGGCUCCCACAUUCCUUGUCCUUGUGCUCCCACUUUAGAAAGAUGUAGCAGAGCUUCCGGGCCGGCUCCUCAUGCCUCCAUGAUUCUGAAAACACUAGUGUUAAAAUCAACUGAAACCUGAUGGUUGGGGAAGUCGUUUGCUUGGAGCAGAGAAGCACAUCUGCCAGCUUCUUGACCAGGCUUCUCAAACCCGCAUCGGAGGAACCUAAUUCCUGAGCCACUGAGAAGUUCCGUGGUGCAACUUUGCUUGCUUUUUCGCAUCACUCAUGGCUAGCUUAGCAUUCAGCUUUCUUAGGUCUACAAAUGAGUUGUCGCUCGUAACUGCUUUCAGCUUCUAAACCUUUCCUGCUGUUGUUUUGGCUCCUAUCAUCCUUGUCCUUCUGGGUUUAUGCCUUUGUAUAUAACAGUCUUUACUGUUUUAGUGGGAUUUUGUAGUUUUUUCUUCCAAAAUUUAAAAAUUCUAGUUAGUUAACAUAUAGUGUAUUAGUUUCAGGAGUAAGAUUUAGUGAUUCAUCACUUAGACCUAAAACCCAGUGCUCAUCGUAACAAGUGCUCUCCUUAAUACCCAUCACUCAUUUAGCUCACUUCCCACCUAAGUCCCUCCACCAACCUGGUUUGUUCUUUAAGAGUCUCUUAUGGUUUGCUUUCCUCUCUCUUUUUCUUCUUAGUGGGAUU
rnacentral:lncRNA from 1 species